CCUACGGGAGGCAGCAGUAGGGAAUCUUUCACAAUGGGCGAAAGCCUGAUGGAGCAACGCCGCGUGCAGGAUGAAGGCCUUCGGGUUGUAAACUGCUUUUAUAAGCGAGAAAUAUGAUGGUAACUUAUGAAUAAGGAUCGGCUAACUACGUGCCAGCAGCCGCGGUCAUACGUAGGAUCCGAGCAUUAUCCGGAGUGACUGGGUGUAAAGAGUUGCGUAGGUGGCAUAAUAAGUAGCUAGUGAAAUCUGGUGGCUCAACCAUUCAGACUAUUAGCUAAACUGUUAAGCUCGAGACCGUGAGGGGUAACUGGAAUUUCUAGUGUAGGAGUGAAAUCCGUAGAUAUUAGAAGGAACACCAAUAGCGUAGGCAGGUUGCUGGGACGGUUCUGACACUAAGGCACGAAAGCGUAGGGAGCAAACGGGAUUAGAUACCCCAGUAGUC
rnacentral:rRNA from 1 species